UUUACCUUUUUAGCCAAGUGGUGUUUAUGGGGAUGUUGCAAGUAUUUGGAACAGCAUUAUUAAGUUGUGAUAGACUCGACUGAGUUUUCAGAUAGAGGCUGCUACUUGGCUAUGUGACCAUUCCCAAGGGGGAUCCUUUCUCAAUAGCAGGGGUAAAGGUGCCAAGAUGGAAGGUUGGUCAGCAGCAUCAGCAUGGCAGCAGGAGCGGUCCACAUGCAGAGUGGCAGACAUGGUUUCUCCCCGCGAUGGGGCAGCAAACACAGUCCAGUGAUCGGGGGGCAGUGGCGCCAGUGGCAGCUGACCCUUUAAGAUGACGGCACCAGCAAGGUGGCAUCUGCAGCCAAAAUGGGACUCUUGGCAGAGCAGCAGCCUGGCCUAGCAGUGGAGCCAGGGACUCCUGGGCAACCAGCUACCCUAGCUACCCCAGUAGUUGAAGCACCUGUUACAUUGUAGUUUAUUGAGAACACUUGGUGGUGUCACUACUAGCUGUUAACUUUCUUAAAGGUACAGUACACCCAUAUCUUCAUAAUACAGGUACUAGGGCUAGGUGCUGGUGUGGACUGGGUUGGAAAGACUGUUAUUCUGAAGUUUUUAUGUCUUUAUUUUUCUUAUUUUUUCCUAAGAAUUUGUUCUUAAGAAUCUGUACCUAGGUACCUUUGUACCUAAGCUGGCACUAUGAUGUGGCAACUUAUAAAUUUUUUGCUGUUGAGUACAUGUGACAAUAUAGCUAAUUCGAUUCAAUAAUUCGAGUGCUAAAGUUUUGCAACUGCUAGUCUCCUGUUUGAUGUCUAGAAAAGUGAAUAUUUUGCUGGAUAAAAGGAAUGCAGGGAGACUGUCCUGUUUGUCACAGCAUUGUAAUGUUUCCAAAGGAGCUAGAACAAUGCAGCGUGAUUACCAGCAACCAAUGACUAAGCAAUGUUUAACACACUGGUAUUAUGUAUAAUCAACCACACUCUGCUUUGUUACGCUGCCAGCUUUUUCCUCAGUGAAGAAUGUAUUGCAUCUUUGUCAGAGUGAUGUGCUAGGUAACAUGUAAUGAACAGUGUUUCAUUCAGAUAUCUCGACUUGCAAUUUAACAUUCAUAUUCAUCCUAUGUGUAACGAGGUGGGUAAAGUUAUAAAACUAUGAAAAUGAACCAAUACAUGUGAUUGCUACUCAAUGUUCUUCUUGUACAAGGAGUGAAAAAUCUUCAUGUUUUAUCUGUGAAGGCUUUAUUCAACAAUGAAAGAAUCCACCUCGUCUACUGUGUCCAUUGCUCUGGACGUGGUGUCCUCUACAUCAGGGAGUCAGAACAUCAACUUGCGGAA